GGCUGGUCUGAAGACAGGGUGGCAUCUCAACUGAUUUUUCUGUUAGUGAUAGAUCAAACUCCUUGUUUUACUCUUCUGCUUUUCACUACUUCGCUUGAUUAGUCUUUU
rnacentral:Y_RNA from 1 species